rnacentral:misc_RNA from 1 species
AGUGACAUUUGGCAACAUUAUGAAAAGUUGGGAAAUGGCAUGGCAAAAUGUCGUUACUGUAAAAUUACAGUGAAAACCUCCGGCAACACGUCGAAUUUGCGGAGUCAUAUACAGUUCAAGCACUCAAAACUUUCAGGCAAAGCAAAGAAGACCCCUGAAGUUUCCCUUGUACCUUCCACAUCUACAUCUAUACCUUCCACGUCUGCAUCUGUACCUUCCACAUCUGCAUCUGUACCUUCCACAUCUACAACAGUACCUUCUACUUCUGCAGUAAGCAACAGUGGUGAUGAAGAUGAUCCCUGUAUUUCCAGUGAGACCAGUAGCACAGCAGGACCUAGCAGGACCAAACAAAUGAGAAUUGAGGAGGUAUUUUCCAGAGUAAGAUCAUUCAAACAAGGAGAUGCCAGCUCAACUAUCACACAAGCAAUAGUUUAUAUGAUUUGUGUGGAUGCUGAACCUUUAUCAAUCGUGGAGCACAAAGGUUUUAGAAGGCUUAUCAAGACAAUAGCUCCACUCUACAAAAUCCCUUCAAGGAAAACCAUUCGUUCAGCUGUUUCUGAUAAGUUCUCUGCGAUAUCCAAUUUGUUGAAGAGUGAAUUGGCCAAUAUUCAAAAUUAUUCAUUUACCACAGACAUAUGGACGGACUCUCAAAAUCGAAGCUAUCUCAGUUUCACUGUACAUUAUUGUGACCUGAAUAGCAGUUACAAUGAAGGUAACAACUGUAUUGAGAAAGCUUCACUGGGACUAUUUGACCUUCAUGAACGCCAUACAUCAGAAUACAUAUCAAGUCAAUUUGAAAACAUAGUUCAGGAAUGGGGGAUCAAUAAGGGGAGAACGACAGCAGUAGUGACAGAUAGUGCUGCUAACAUUGUGAAAGCGGUUGAAUUAUGUUUUGGGAAAAAACACAUACCUUGUUUCGCACAUACUCUGAACUUGGUGGCCACUAAAGGUAUUGCUGAUGUGCCUCAGUUAGAAGAAAUUCUCAAAAAAGUGAGCAGAAUAGUGACAUGGUUCCACCACAGUGUUGCUGCAAGUGAUGAGUUGAGGAAGACAGUGGACAAGAAGUUGAUCCAAGAUGUCCCAACUCGAUGGAAUUCAACCUAUGACAUGCUGAAAAGGUUCUUGGAGCUACGUCCAUUCAUUAAUGACAUUGUGAAUCGGUUUACAUCAGCGCCUCCAAUGAUAUUGGCAUUGGAAUUGGAAAUACUACAAGAAGUUGUUGAAUUGCUUCAGCCGCUUCAAACAGCAACACUUGAAAUUAGUUCUGGUCAGUAUUUGACAAGCAGUAUGCCAAUACCAAUUGCCAGCAGACUGCUUGAAGAGCUCACAUCUCUCAAUCCUAAACAUGAGAUUGGAGAAGGCUUGAAGAGAUCAAUUCUGGCACAACACAAGAAGAGAUUGGGAGCUAUUGAAAAUGUGCAUCUACUUGGAAUUGCCACAUUGCUUGACCCUCGUUUCAAGAAGGAAUAUUUCCUGGACAAGGUGGCCUGCUCAAGAGCAGUAAAUGCGGUCUCCAGAUUGAUGCAAGAUGUAACUGUAUCACUCAGUGAACAACUAGAGGAAUGUGAUUCCCCCUCAUCUGAUGACUCUGAUAAAGAUAAGAGCACUUCUCUAUUCCUGAGGAGCUGUCAAUGUACUUGAACUCACCAAAUGAGAAGAUGGAGCAGAGCGCGGUGGGUUUUUGGAAAUCGAUGAAGUGUACUUAUCCAGUUCUAUCUGAGGUUUUCUUUAACUGGCAUUUUUGGAUUAUCAAAUAACGGCAAUGAAUGCUUCAUUAACGGGACCAUACAGUUGCUGCUAGCUCAACAAAAUUCAGUAGAAUAUUUUCGCGAUUGCCAGCAAUCAAACGUCACAAAGGGGAUUGUUGGAAUUAUCGGUCAAGGAAAUAAAUUGUAAUGACCAACUGUUACGAGGAGAGGAAUGCUCGAGACCCAAGAAGAAUAAAUGGCUCCUGCAGGAUUCUAACAUUGAGAAAUUGCAGCAAAAAUUGGC